CAUGCAAGUCGAGCGAAUGGAUUAAGAGCUUGCUCUUAUGAAGUUAGCGGCGGACGGGUGAGUAACACGUGGGUAACCUGCCCAUAAGACUGGGAUAACUCCGGGAAACCGGGGCUAAUACCGGAUAACAUUUUGAACCGCAUGGUUCGAAAUUGAAAGGCGGCUUCGGCUGUCACUUAUGGAUGGACCCGCGUCGCAUUAGCUAGUUGGUGAGGUAACGGCUCACCAAGGCAACGAUGCGUAGCCGACCUGAGAGGGUGAUCGGCCACACUGGGACUGAGACACGGCCCAGACUCCUACGGGAGGCAGCAGUAGGGAAUCUUCCGCAAUGGACGAAAGUCUGACGGAGCAACGCCGCGUGAGUGAUGAAGGCUUUCGGGUCGUAAAACUCUGUUGUUAGGGAAGAACAAGUGCUAGUUGAAUAAGCUGGCACCUUGACGGUACCUAACCAGAAAGCCACGGCUAACUACGUGCCAGCAGCCGCGGUAAUACGUAGGUGGCAAGCGUUAUCCGGAAUUAUUGGGCGUAAAGCGCGCGCAGGUGGUUUCUUAAGUCUGAUGUGAAAGCCCACGGCUCAACCGUGGAGGGUCAUUGGAAACUGGGAGACUUGAGUGCAGAAGAGGAAAGUGGAAUUCCAUGUGUAGCGGUGAAAUGCGUAGAGAUAUGGAGGAACACCAGUGGCGANNNCGACUUUCUGGUCUGUAACUGACACUGAGGCGCGAAAGC
rnacentral:rRNA from 1 species